rnacentral:rRNA from 1 species
CCUACGGGAGGCUGCAGUGGGGAAUAUUGGGCAAUGUGCGCAAGCCUGACCCAGCAACGCCGCGUGAAGGAAGAAGGCUUUCGGGUUGUACACUUCUUUUCUCAGGGACGAAGCAAGUGACGGUACCUGAGGAAUAAGCCACGGCUAACUACGUGCCCGCAGCCGCGGUAAUACGUAGGUGGCAAGCGUUAUCCGAAUUUCCUGGGUGUAAAGGGCGUGUAGGCGGGGACGCAAGUCAGAUGUGAAAACCACGGGCUCAACCUGUGGCCUGCAUUUGAACCUGUGUUUCGUAAGUACUGGAGAGGCAGACGGAAUUCCUAGUGUAGCGGGGAAAGGCGAUGAUAGUAGGAGGAACACCAGGGGCGAAGGCGUUCGG